CCGACCGGCGCCUAGGGCUUCCGCUGGUCAGCUGACCGCCCAGUGCGGAACUGCACCACCAGCCACCCUGCUCAGUGCCGCCCCGCCUGCUGGGUCCUCUCCACCAUGGCUGGGCUCAUGGUCAGUGGAACUCAAGUGUCCUACGUAGGCCAGUACUGCAGAGAAAUUCCAGAAUCCCUGGGCCGGGACUUUGGACAUUUUGCAAAGAGGCUUGACCUGAGCUUCAACCUCUUGAGGUAUGUAAACUUUGAGAGAUGCAAGCCAGGCCUGGGCUACCCAAUUCCCUCCAGGACCUUGGGGUAGCAGGUUCAAGUCACAGGUCCCAGCUCUUUACAGGGUCUCGAGAAAGAUGGGACCACACACCAGACCUUGUUGCAAAUGAUCUUGGAGAUCACGCCUGGUCUUCUAGUAAGCUGAUGUCUAAGAGCAUCUGAGCCUGGUUCACCUCACGACUGUGGGAGGGUCUUAUACUUUUGCUUUGUUCUUUAGGGGUGUUUAGCUUUGUUUCCUAAGAGUGACUGCCUCUCACAGAGUGUAGCAAAUCAAAGAUAGUGUGUGUGUAGGUUAUGUAUCAGCGGCAUGCUGUGAAGUGGUAAUGAGGCAUGGUGUAAACUCUCUCUCAAACGAUAGCGUUUUGCAGCUUUGAUGUUUUAAAUAUUCAUGAGGAUGCUCUCUCUCAAAGGAUUACUGUUGGUGUGAAGUGGUGGCAGUGGUGGGGAUGGUGUGAAGUGGAGAUGGGGGUGGUGUGAAGAGGUGAUGGGGCGGGAGGGGUGGUGUGAAGUGGCGGGGGGUGGUGUGAAGUGGUGAUGGGGGUGGUGUGAAGUUGUGAUGGGGCGGGAGGGGUGGUGUGAAGUGGCAGGGGGUGGUGUGAAGUGGU
rnacentral:lncRNA from 1 species